UGAGAUGUGCUCAUUUUCCUCAAGCUACUGUCACCCAUCGCUGAAUUGCAGAAGCCGACAUCAUCACUACCCUUCACCCUCUCUUUCGUCAGCUCAUUAAACUGAAAAGCAGAUGGAUGGGGCGUGGAGACUACAGCAGCUGUUGACUUUGCAAUGGUGACACAAGACUUUGAAGACCCCAACGGUGAGUCGAUCUUCGCCCUGAGCGCAGAGCAGAGCUUCCUUCAGAGAUUUUCCAGCAGACUGCAUGGCACAAUGGCUACAACAGGCCUGUUGCCCUCCGUCUGCCUCUGGGACGCGUGCCUUUAGAACUCUUCCAAAGUCGGGGCGGCAUCCUUUGAAUGAAAGGAUCAGACGAGACCUUUUGACCUUUCGAUGAUUUUGGAAUCAUGAAACCACACAAGAGGAAAACCCUUCUGUCAAAGUUUUUUUUUUUUUAAAUCAACAUGGUGAGG